rnacentral:lncRNA from 10 species
CUCCCACCACAGCCUCCCAAAGUGCUGAGAUCACAGGCAUCAGCCAGUGCCCCCGGCCCCUGCUGACACCUUGGUCUUGGACUUCCAGCCUCCAGGACUGUGGGACCGUGUCUGCCCCUUAAGCCAGUAGCCGGUGGCACUUUGUUACAGCUUCCCUGGCAAACACGCUGCCCCGACGGCUGGUGCUUUGAGCUGGCAGCAUUCUAUCUGCCACGGGCCUCCAGGUGAUGCUCUAGCUGCACCAGCCUCUGCCCACGUGCAGGGGAAUCCUGUUGGGGCCCAGAUCCAGCCCCAGGACACUGGCCCUGCAGAAGCAGCAAACCCCCCAGUGCCCCCAGUGACACUGAGUGGGGGCCCGGCCCAUAGCAUGGGUGUGAUGUGGUGGAGCCCAUGUCGGGAGGGGACUUGGUCACAGGACAGGGAGGGGCCCUGCCUCAUCCAGUGGGCAAGAGUCAGGGUGCUUGGGCCCCCAACGGCCUGUGUGGGUGGAUCACGUGAGGUCGGGGGUUCAAGACCAGCCUGACCAACAUGGUGAAACCCCAUCUCUACUAAAAAUAUGAAAUUAGCCAGGCGUGGUGGUGCGUGCCUGUAAUCCCAGCUACUUGGGAGGCUGAGGCAGGAGAAUCGCUUGAACCUGGGAGGCGGAGGUUUCAGUGAGCCGAGAUCAUGCCAUUGCACUCCAGCCUGGGCAACUGAG